GGACGAUUGGUGUAGUGGUUAUCACGUCUGCUUUACAUUGCAUUGCAAAAUGUCCAUAUCGCAGCAGGUCGCAAGUUCGAUCCUUGCAUCGUUCA